AUUCCCACAAAAAGUAGGUAAUGUAUUUCCCGUUUUUAUCAUAUGAUAUCUUCAGUAGUGCGCUGCAGUUCCGUUUUGUCAGCGCUCUAUGUUUUUCAAAUUUCCCACGAUUUUCUUAAAGUUUGGUUCGUCACGGAAUGAGGUUGUUUGAUAAUACUUUUAAAGGAAAAUACAAAAUGAACUGUGGAAGAGUUAAUAGAAGAAAUAAUAGAAGGCGUGUAGGUCUUUGGAGAAGACUCCUGGAACGGGAUUUGUGGGUCCGAUACCAUGCCAUGUCCAGGUUAGAGCAAGAGGAGCUGGAGCAGAGGUUAUCUGGAGAAGCCACCGUCCCUGUUGCCGCUAACUAAGAUAACACUGGUGAUAAUGAGACAGCUAGCAUGAUAGCAAUGGAUCAUGAGAUAAUUUUUUUUUUUUUUGUUUGUAUUUUAUAGAUAGUCCUUUUUAGCAUCAAAAUUUGCCUUGUA